rnacentral:rRNA from 1 species
CCUACGGGUGGCUGCAGUGGGGAAUAUUGGACAAUGGGCGAAAGCCUGAUCCAGCCAUGCCGCGUGUGUGAAGAAGGCCUUCGGGUUGUAAAGCACUUUCAGUGGGGAAGAAAGCCUUGGGGCUAAUACCCUCGAGGAAGGACAUCACCCACAGAAGAAGCACCGGCUAACUCCGUGCCAGUAGCCGCGGUAAUACGGAGGGUGCGAGCGUUAAUCGGAAUUACUGGGCGUAAAGCGCGCGUAGGCGGUCUGAUAAGCCGGUUGUGAAAGCCCCGGGCUCAACCUGGGAACGGCAUCCGGAACUGUCAGGCUAGAGUGCAGGAGAGGAAGGUAGAAGUCCCGGUGUAGCGGUGAAAUGCGUAGAGAUCGGGAGGAAUACCAGUGGCGAAGGCGGCCUUCUGGACUGACACUGACGCUGAGGUGCGAAAGCGUGGGUAGCAAACAGGAUUAGAUACCCGAGUAGUC